GGGGCUGUAGCUCAGUUGGUAGAGCGUCUGCUUUGCAAGCAGGAUGUCAGGAGUUCGAAUCUCCUCAGCUCCACCA
rnacentral:tRNA from 3 species